rnacentral:rRNA from 1 species
UGGGGAAUCUUGCGCAAUGCACGAAAGUGUGACGCAGCAACGCCGCGUGGGGGAAGAAGGCUCUCGGGUCGUAAACCCCUUUCAGUUGGGACGAAGCUUCGCGGGUUAACAGCCGGCUGAAGUGACGGUACCUUCACAAGAAGCACCGGCUAACUACGUGCCAGCAGCCGCGGUAAUACGUAGGGUGCAAGCGUUGUCCGGAAUUACUGGGCGUAAAGAGCUCGUAGGUGGGACUAUAAGUCGACGAGUAAAUAUCUCGGCUCAACUGAGAUGCCAUUGUCGAUACUGUAGUUCUUGAGGACAGGAGAGGAAAGUGGAAUUCCCGGUGUAGCGGUGAAAUGCGUAGAGAUCGGGAGGAACACCAGUGGCGAAGGCGAGUCCCUAGACAACUCCUGACACUGAGGCACGAAAGCUAGGGGAGCAAACAGG